UCUCGGAAAACAUCGUAGAGACCCGUCGUCGUGACUGGUGGAUACGGGGAAAGUCCGGUGAGAAUCCGGCGCUGUGCCGCAACGGUGGUGAGCUAAGCGCUCCAAGCCCGAAUGCCCGCUCUACAAAACAUAUGGAG
rnacentral:ncRNA from 1 species